GAUCCUGGCUCAGGAUGAACGCUAGCUACAGGCUUAACACAUGCAAGUCGAGGGGCAGCAUGGUCUUAGCUUGCUAAGGCCGAUGGCGACCGGCGCACGGGUAAGUAACACGUAUCCAACCUGCCGUCUACUCUUGGACAGCCUUCUGAAAGGAAGAUUAAUACAAGAUGGCAUCAUGAGUUCACAUGUUCACAUGAUUAAAAGGUAUUCCGGUAGACGAUGGGGAUGCG
rnacentral:rRNA from 1 species